UCUUGAAAAUAUUUUUUUAACAUACAUUUGAUCUACUUGUCAUGAUUAAGAAUAUUUCAAAUAAAGUAUAUCAUUGCAUAUAAAAUUUCAUAUUUCAAAUAAAACAUUUUAUAUACUCAUUCAUAAUAAAACAUAUAUGUUUUAGAAAAUAUCAAAAAUUUUUCCCUUGGCUAUUCAUCCAGACAUAAUGUAAACAUGUCAUUCUUUGAUUACUUGGUGCCUAUAAAUUCCAACUUAGCCAGGAGAAUUCCCAUCAAACAUGUUUUUGAAUAGUUUAAACCAUAUGAUUUAGCAUUUAUUCCUUUUGUUUUUUAUUUUUAAAUUAAGUUUUAGUAUUAAUAUUUGCAUUAAAAUAAACUAGUAAGGGUUUGGUAGAACUCCACUCAAGUGUUCUAGUAGUUACACUUGACCAUUUAGUUAUAUCGUCAAGAUCAUCUGUGACCAUAAUUCUCUAUAUAACCCAUUCCAGAGCAAUGUUCCCAACACCUCCCUUUGAAGUGUGGCCUAUUUGGUUGCUUGCCGGCAAGAAAAAGUGUGGACAAAAGAAAAGAUAAAAUAUAUUGAUGUUGUGAGUCUUGGCGGGAAACAGCUGACAAUUAUCCCCUUCUCCAGAGAAUGGUCUAAACCUAAGAGGAAUCACCAUACCUCAUUACUCACAAUAGCCACAAUGUGAAAUCAGCCCAAGUGUACAUCAAUGAAUGAAUGAAUGAAUAAAAUGUGGCUUACAUACACAAUGGAAUACCAUACAGCUUUAAGAAGAAAGAAAACUCUGUCACUUGCAACAGCAUGGAUGAGCCUGGACAACAUUACAGUAAGUAAAACAAGACUGGAAGAGAAAGACAAAUACUGCAUGAUUUCACUUGUAUAUGAAAUCUUCCAAAAUCAAACUCCUAAAAUCUGAGAGCAGAAUAGCGGUUAUCAGAGGCUGAGCAAGAGAAGGAUGGGAAAGGUUUACCAAAGGCUAACAAGUUUCGGUUAGAGAGGAGGAAAAAUUUUUUGUAAUCUAUUGCACAGCAUAGUAACCACAGCUAAUAAUAACUGUAUUUCAAAAUUGCUGAAAGAGAUUUUAAACAUCCCCACAAAAAUUAGAUGAGACAAUGAAUGUGCUAAUUAGCUUGAUUUAAUCUUUCUACACUGUAAGCAUAUAUCAAACCUCACAUAUAUCUACCCCACAUAGAUACACAAUUAAUAUUUUCAAUUAAAAAUUAAGUAUACCUGUAAUCCCAGCACUUUGGGAGGCCGAGGCGGGUGGAUCAUGAAGUCAAGAGAUUGAGACCAUCCUGGUCAACAUGGUAAAACCCUGUCUCUACUAAAAAUACAAAAAAUUAGCUGGGCAUGCUGGUGCAUGCCUGUAAUCCCAGCUACUCAGGAGGCUGAGACAGGAGAAUUGCCUGAAUCCAGGAGGUGGAGGUUGCGGUGAGCCGAGAUCGCACCAUUGCACUCCAGCCUGGGUAACAAGAGCGAAACUCCGUCUCCAGAAAAAAAAAAAAUUAAAUAUAAAAUAAAUUUUACCAGUCUCAUGCUCCAUAAAAAUUUUAAUAUUUAUAUAACAAAGAUCAAAAUAUCUAAAAUGAAAGUCAUAUUACAGAUCUAGUGAACAUAUAAAUUCUGACAGCUCAUUAGUUUGGUAGCAUGCUAUACUGAAGUACAUCUGGCACGCAUCAUGGGUUUGAGCACACUCAAGGUCAUGUUUUCAUUUUGAAUAUCAUGAACAGUGAACUAUUUAUUAAGUUUACAAUAUGUGUGCAAUGAAAGCAUUUCGUUGCACACCUUGACUGUCCAUUAUGUCACCAAAGUCAUUGAGCUACUGUGAGGGCUGGGGCCAUGGGAGACAGUGUUGGUGGCCACGGGGUUGAGUGUGUCAUUCAAGUGGAGCAGGAGCUUCACUCGUUGUUCUAGGUUACCCUGAUGAAAGGUAUAUGGAGCUUCCUUUAGCCAAUUUGUUCCACUUAAAUUCAUCCCAAACUGGAUUUGGUCAUAUGUAAUUAUUCAAUAAAAUGUGUAACAAUUGGCACAUCAAAUAAGUAAUUGAAUCAUUCUCAAUAAGUCAAUUACCACAACUUUAAAAAUCUAUGCAUUGGGAUUCCAGGAGAAGAUGGCGCUGUAGGACCAACUCAGGAUUGAAGCUCCCAGUGAAUCUGCAGAUGAUGAGUGGAUGCCACAUUUCCAGAUGGAUCUUUAUUGCCCAGGAGAUUCCCAGGUGUAGGAGCCGCACGGGCUGCCAGGCUGGCUAUUCAGGCCACGACAGCAGGGCAGUGCAGCGGCACUCCGUACAAAGUACACUGGUUUGGUUGCCCUGUUAAACUGCCAAUUGGAGAUUUCGGAAGGCAGAUUAGCACAUUCCUCUGAUUAAACGGGACUUAUGCAGAAAGCCAGGCCAGGAGAUUCCCCGGCAGCAAUGUGAUUCCAGCUGGUGCAGUGGGUCGCUGCAGGGGAAAUCACACAGAUCCCAGCCCCCUUUCAGCAGGCAACUGGAACACCUGGGAGAGAGUCAACAGUUCAACUUAAAAAAAAAAGAAAAGGGCUUUGAGGCAGGGAGCCAGAUGAUCAGGCUCGGCAGAUCCCACCCCCACAAAAACAAACAAAACAGCAAUUGGAAAUGCUCGGGGUUGAGAGUUUCACAGCAAGCACAGCUGAACCCAGGAUGGUGCAGCUUGGAGGGGAGGGGCGUCCGCCAUUACCAAGGCAUUUGACCCCUACAGAGGUACACUGCCAUUGCUGAUGCAGCCUGCUGUUGCUGAGGCAACCCGCUGAGGCUGAGGCAACCCACCAUAACAGAGAGAGUCUGCCACUACAGAGACGGGCCAUCAUCACCACUGCAGCUCUAACCACACCCAUAUAAACAGGACUACAGGGAAUUACACACGGCAGCAGGGUGGAGCCCACAGCA